rnacentral:rRNA from 1 species
ACCGGCGAACGGGUGCGUAACACGUGAGGAACUGCCCCGAAGACUGGGAUAGCCCGAGGAAACUCGGAUUAAUACCGGAUACCCUCUUUGGACCACAUGGUCUGUUGAGGAAAUGGUCCGCUGCUUCGGGAUGGCCUCGCGGCCUAUCAGCUUGUUGGUGAGGUAAUGGCUCACCAAGGCAAAGACGGGUAGCUGGUCUGAGAGGACGAUCAGCCACACUGGGACUGAGACACGGCCCAGACUCCUACGGGAGGCAGCAGCAGGGAAUAUUGCACAAUGGGCGAAAGCCUGAUGCAGCGACACCGCGUGCGGGAUGAAGGCCUUCGGGUUGUAAACCGCUUUCAGGAGGGACGAAAAUGACGGUACCUCCAGAAGAAGGCCCGGCCAACUACGUGCCAGCAGCCGCGGUAAUACGUAGGGGCCAAACGUUGUCCGGAUUUAUUGGGCGUAAAGGGCUCGUAGGCGGUUCAACAAGUCGGUCGUGAAAGCCCGGGGCUCAACUCCGGGACGCCGGUCGAGACUGUUGUGACUAGGGUCCGGUAGAGGUGAGUGGAAUUCUCGGUGUAGCGGUGGAAUGCGCAGAUAUCGAGAGGAACACCAGUAGCGAAGGCGGCUCACUGGGCCGGUACCGACGCUGAGGAGCGAAAGCAUGGGGAGCAAACAGGAUUAGAUACCC